rnacentral:tRNA from 1 species
GGAAGGAUUAUGGCUCAGUGGUAGAGCUUCUGCUUGGAAUGCAGAAGGUCCCAGGUUCAAUCUCUAGCAUUUCA